AAGAAAAGUCAAAUCAAUUUAUUUUUGAAUUAUAAAAAAAAAAAUUGUCUUUCCAUCGCAGCAGCAACGCCGAUUUAAGCAUAUUUGCCACAAUAUUAAAAAUUUAAAAUGGAUCUUUUGAUUGCUUUUCGUUUUACUGUUAUAGCAGUGUUACUCUUUUUAACAGUUAUCGUUCUUUUGCUUCGUGUUGUAGCUACUUAAUGUGAAUGAAAAGAAAUUAUUUACAAAACAAAGGAAAUCCAUAGCACAAUAUAUGCUUGAAUUUUAAAUCAAAGAACCAUAUGCCGUUGGAAAUGUUCAAAAUAGUAGCAGAUGCCUGAGUGUAGACACCUAACAUACCAAGCCUAGCAAGUUCACACACACAUAUAUACUUCUAUUUACAAAUAAGCUGAUCAAGAUUUGCUCUUUGUGUCUCUGCGAAAUCUCACUGGAAAUCUGACAUUUAGCCAUGCACAGCAAUUAGUGUACAACAAUGCAAUAACAACUAUCCAUCGAUGCGAAAACGGUUAUUAGGGUGCCAAAAUCUUCUGUGGAAUAUGUGUGGCCAGCAUUUGUCGACGAUGAUCACCUAGACUAUGCUCUUCGCCUUGAGUAAAUGUACACUCUUCAUGGUGUUGUAGUACGCAAGUUUCAAAAGAUUUCUUCAACCAUUUUAUGCUGGGAACUUUAUAUUCCCCGGGGAAAUUCCGCACACGUUCUGCAAUAUACCAAGGAGCACGCACAUAGUAAAACCAACUAAUUAAACGUUCGACCGGAUGACGUACUAGAUUUAUGUAAAUGGGCCAAGCUAAACGAGGAUGCAUGCUCGAAUUACAACAUAUUUUUGCAAACUGGGCCGAUUUAAAUAACAAAAUAUCAUUGACAUCGAUAAGUUGUUGGUUGUUUAUUUGCAAUGCAAUACUCUUGCAUACGAGUAUGUAUGUGAAUGUUGGCAAGCGCAAACCAAAAAUGUUACAAACAUUUUCUCAUACAACCGGAAAAGUUGGCGAGAGCAGCAAGUUGCAGUCAGUUGAGCCAAAGUAAGAAGCCACUUUUGGAGACAAAGACAUGCGAUAUUCAAGAUGCCACAGAACCACCGUUGUGGUGAGUAAAUACACUACACUACGUGUAUGUGUGUGUCUUAUUGAAGCCUACUCAGAGCUUACAGAUGUCAAACCACUUUAUUGGACGAUCUUGAAAAUGCAGGUAUUCUAUACGCCGUGGCAAGGUCAGGGUAACGUACUACUUCGAAUGGUGUCUUCUACACUGAUGGCAAUAGUUAUUAUGUUUGAACAAAAAAAAAUUUAAUAACGCUUGAACUCUGAUGUGGAAUUGAUGUUAAAAAAAAUAAAUUAAUUAUUGUAUUAAAAAUUUCAUAUAUAUGAAGACACAUAUAUUUAGUACAACGCAACAUUGCUUUUUUACGGCUUCAAAAUGUUGUGAAAAUGAUUUAGCUCGUAACUCGUAAAAGUGAUUAAAGUGAUCAUAUCAAUAGAUA